UGGGUAACCUGCCUCAAAGAGGGGAAUAGCCUCCCGAAAGGGAGAUUAAUACCGCAUAAUAUGUUUAGGUCGCAUGACUUUAACAUCAAAGGAUUUUCUUUUAGAAAUUCCACUUUGAGAUGGACCCGCGGCGCAUUAGCUAGUUGGUGAGGUAACGGCUCACCAAGGCAACGAUGCGUAGCCGACCUGAGAGGGUGAUCGGCCACAUUGGAACUGAGACACGGUCCAGACUCCUAGGGAGGCG
rnacentral:rRNA from 1 species